CGGGAAUACUAACGCGCGCGCACGCAGGAAGAGCGGGAUUUUAAAGGGUCAGGCCGGGACGUGUUCCGGUGCAACAUCACCGCCAGAGGAGGACUUUCACGCACUUUGGACCAAAGGCAUUCAUCCGUGGAUAUUUAUUUUCUUUUGUGUGUGUGUUUAUUUGACUACUUUUCAUUUAGCGUGGACAUUUUAGCAGACAUAUUACACUUUAAUGCCAGCAUGUGUGCAGGAGUUGUAUUAAAAAUGCUUUUUUUUUUUGAGGGGAUAUAAAACGGGUUUUAUGGAA